rnacentral:tRNA from 1 species
AUUUAAAUAGUUUAUAAAAAUGAUGAUUUGUGGGAUCAUUGAUGUCUUUACUGACUUUAAAUU